AUACAGAGUGCGAGGCCUCUGGGUCCACCUCCCAUCCGUGUCUAUCUGUACCCUGUUGCUUCGGCGUGGCCACGGCCCGCCGGAGACUAACAUUUGAACGCUGUCUGAAGUUUGCAGUCUGAGUUUUUAGUUAAACAAUCGUUAAAACUUUCAACAACGGAUCUCUUGGUUCCGGCAUCGAUGAAGAACGCAGCGAAAUGCGAUAAUUAAUGUGAAUUGCAGAAUUCAGUGAAUCAUCGAGUCUUUGAACGCACAUUGCGCCCCCUGGUAUUCCGGGGGGCAUGCCUGUCCGAGCGUCAUUGCUGCCCUCAAGCACGGCUUGUGUGUUGGGCUUCCGUCCCUGGCAACGGGGACGGGCCCAAAAGGCAGUGGCGGCACCAUGUCUGGUCCUCGAGCGUAUGGGGCUUUGUCACCCGCUCCCGUAGGUCCAGCUGGCAGCUAGCCUCGCAACCAAUCUUUUUAACCAGGUUGACCUCGGAUCAGGUAGGGAUACCCGCUGAACUUAAGCAUAUCUAAGGCGGGGAAGAAAAUGCCUUC
rnacentral:misc_RNA from 1 species